rfam:Triticum aestivum genome assembly, contig: Triticum_aestivum_CS42_TGACv1_scaffold_330507_4BS
UUACUACUCCCUCCGUUCGAAAUUACUUGUCACAGAAAUGGAUGUAUCUAGACAUAUUUUAGUUCUAGAUAUAUCCAUUUCUGAGAGAAUUAAUUCCAAACGGAGGGAGUAGUAA